AUGGCUUGAAAGUUUGAAUGCUUGGAAAAUUAGUCACUACUUUUUCUUUUUCCUAUUUUAUUUUUUCUGUAUGUAAUUUCCAUUGUUUUUCCGUUCUUCUUUUUAUUUCUAAUUUUAAUUUGCAAGUUUUUAUUCUUAUUUAUAUAUGGUGGUAUUUAUAUCUUGGAUCGUUUACUUAUGCAUACAGAGUCAACUACAAUUGCCAAAACAUGACAUAGCUAUAAUCUCUACCACUCCUUUUCUAGAGAUCUCAUCCUCUGCAGCUUCGUUCUUGAUCUGGA
rnacentral:lncRNA from 1 species